rnacentral:rRNA from 1 species
AGUGAACGCUGGCGGCGUGCUUAACACAUGCGAGUCGAACGAGAACGGGAUAUAGCUUGCUAUAUUUGUCAGCUAAGUGGCGCACGGGGGAGUAAUGUAUAGGUAAUAUGCCUCUUACUAAGGGAUAACAAUUGGAAACGAUUGCUAAUACCUUAUAUGCCUUUAAGACUAAAGUCUGCAAGGGAAAGAUUUAUUGGUAAGAGAUUAGCCUGUAUUGUAUCAGCUAGUUGGUGAGGUAAUGGCUCACCAAGGCUAUGACGCAUAACUGGUUUGAGAGGAUUAUCAGUCACACUGGAACUGAGACACGGUCCAGACUCCUACGGGAGGCAGCAGUGGGGAAUAUUGCACAAUGGACGAAAGUCUGAUGCAGCAACGCCGCGUGGAGGAUGACACAUUUCGGUGCGUAAACUCCUUUUAUAUAGGAAGAUAAUGACGGUACUAUAUGAAUAAGCACCGGCUAACUCCGUGCCAGCAGCCGCAGUAA